rnacentral:rRNA from 1 species
UGAGGAAUAUUGCACAAUGGGGGGAAACCCUGAUGCAGCGACGCCGCGUGAACGAAGAAGUAUUUCGGUAUGUAAAGUUCUAUCAGCAGGGAAGAUAAUGACGGUACCUGACUAAGAAGCACCGGCUAAAUACGUGCCAGCAGCCGCGGUAAUACGUAUGGUGCAAGCGUUAUCCGGAUUUACUGGGUGUAAAGGGAGCGUAGACGGUAAAGCAAGUCUGAAGUGAAAGCCCGGGGCUCAACCCCGGGACUGCUUUGGAAACUGUUUAACUAGAGUGCUGGAGAGGUAAGCGGAAUUCCUAGUGUAGCGGUGAAAUGCGUAGAUAUUAGGAGGAACACCAGUGGCGAAGGCGGCUUACUGGACAGUAACUGACGUUGAGGCUCGAAAGCGUGGGGAGCAAACAGGAUUAGAUACCCUGGUAGU